UAUGGAGAGCAUGUUUGACUAUUAACAGAUAAUAGGGUCAAAAAUCGCUUUUAAUUUCCUAUUCGCUGAAAAACGAAGAAAGCUUAUCUUAGCAAUUUCUUUUUAUUAUUCAAAAGUAAGACUCGGAUUACAACCACAUGGGUUAUCACUGUAGAAAUUGCUUGAGGAGUAUAUUAUACAAUUAGAAUACCGGAAAAAAAGAAGAUAAAAACGACUACCCACAGUUUGUUUAUAUCGAUCAGGAGUUGUCUGACCUUGGAAGUGAAGAGCCCAGCACAAGAAAUCGAAACAAAAGUGGAGUUUUUGCUUGUUCAUCCCAUAUUGGUUAGCCUAAAGGGGAUCAAAUGGCUGAAGAUCAUAUAGAUUUCGAGGACGAGGAAUAUGGAGGGGCUCAAAAGCACCAGUAUCAGGGGUCUGGUGGAGCCAUAUCUGCUCUUGCAGAUGAAGAACUGAUGGGAGAUGAUGACGAAUAUGACGAUCUCUACAACGAUGUUAAUGUUGGUGAGGGUUUCCUGCAGUUGCAACGGUCUGAAGCACCAUCACUUCCUGCUGCUGCUGGUGUGGGCAACGGGCUUCAGGCUCAAAAAAGAAAUUUUCCUGAACCGAGAGAAGAAAUUGGGGGCUCUCAACAGCCAAAUAUUCCUGGAGUGUCAGCUGAAGGAAGAUUUUCUAGUGCAGGAUCCCAAUUUCCUGGCCAGCAGGACGGGCUUAAAGUUGAUAAGAAAUCUGAAGCGGGCUCUAUGGUUUACCCUGACGGGGCUUCAGGCUCACAAAAGGGAAGAAUUGUAGCGGGAUUUCAAGGAUCAAAGCCCAUGCUACAUAGUGUUGGAGUUGAUUCCUCAGAUAUUCCUGGAAAAAUGGUCAAUGAGCCUAUUCAAGCACCGAAUUCUGGAGGUGCUGGACCUCGAGGCAUCCUUCCGAUGCAGGGUAAUCAAACCACUGUAAAUGCAAAUGUUAGUCAUCCAAUAGUCAAUGAGAACCAGAUCCGACCAUCGAUAGAGAAUGGUUCAACCAUGUUGUUUGUGGGAGAACUACAUUGGUGGACAACUGAUGCUGAACUUGAAAGUGUUUUGUCUCAAUAUGGGAGAGUGAAGGAAAUUAAGUUUUUCGAUGAAAGAGCCAGUGGUAAAUCCAAAGGAUAUUGCCAAGUUGAGUAUUAUGAUGCAGCAGCAGCCGUUGCGUGCAAGGAGGGAAUGCAUGGUCAUGUUUUUAACGGGAGAGCUUGUGUUGUGGCUUUUGCAUCUCCACAAACGCUUAAGCAGAUGGGAGCUGCUUAUAUGAGCAAGAAUCAAGUUCAAAAUCAGUCUCAGCCUCAGGGAAGAAGGCCCAUUAAUGAUGGUGUUGGGAGAGGAGGUAAUCCGAAUUUUCAAAGUGGAGAUGGAGGGAGAAACUUCGGAAGGGGUGGGUGGGGUCGGGGUGGGCAAGGAGCACCCAAUAGAGGUCCUGGGAGUGGAGGGCCAAUGAGGGGAAGAGGAGGGGCUAUGGGUGCAAAGAACAUGGUUGGGAACAAUGCUGGAGUUGGAGGUGGGGGAUAUGGGCAGGGUCUUGCGGGACCGCCAUUUGGUGGUCCUGCUGGUGGUAUGAUGAAUCCACAAGGCAUGAUGGGUACUGGCUUUGAUCCAACAUAUAUGGGUAGAGGAGUUGGUUAUGGAGGGUUUGCAGGACCUGCUUUUCCUGGAAUGCUUCCUUCAUUUCCGGCAGUUAACACAAUGGGAUUUGCUGCAGUGGCCCCUCAUGUCAACCCCGCCUUCUUUGGCAGGGGUAUGACAAAUAAUGGAAUGGGUAUGGUGGGCUCUUCUUUAAUGGAUGGUCAUCAAGGAGGAAUGUGGAAUGACCCGAGCAUCGGUGGAUGGGGAGGAGAAGAACAUGGCCGAAGGACACGGGAGUCCAGCUAUGGUGGCGAUGAUGGUGCUUCUGAAUAUGGCUAUGGAGACACAAACCAUGAAAAAGGAGGACGGUCGAGUGCUGUCUCCAGGGAAAGAGAACGAGGAUCAGAGCGUGACUGGUCUGGAAACUCUGAGAGGAGGAAUCAUGAAGAGAGGGACCAAGACUGGGACAGGUCUCAAAAGGAGCAGAAGGAGCACAGAUAUAGGGAAGGCAAAGAUGGAUCCCGAGACUAUCGUCCAAAAGAGCGUGAAUUGGACUAUGAGGAUGACUGGGACAGAGGGCAAUCUUCGUCAAGACUUAGGAGCAGGUCUCGAGUGGUGCAAGAAGAUCAUCAUCGGUCUCGUUCACGAGAUGUUGAUUAUGGAAAGAGGAGACGUUUGCCAUCUGAGUGACCUGGUCUCGUAAUCAGAUCUUCUUCAGCAUGCCUUAUACAAUGCAGAAUCAAUGUUUGCAACUUUGCACUUUCAAUCCUUGGAUGGCUAUGUGCAUCUACAUCACUCUCCGGACCUUGAUUGCCCAAAUUUAUGCAGCGUCUUGAGUGAAAGGAAUAGAGUGAGCAACUCUUUCUUUUCAUGAAUGAGCCAGCUUUUUCUGGUUAUAUGGUGGAAGUUUUGUUACAUGGGAUGCCUUUAUUGGAUUCCUCUGGUGAUGGCUUUGGUCUGCCAAGUAUGAAAAAGAAGUCUUUGACUGUUCUUAUUUUCACCUUGUUUUUGACCACCUAAAAUAUCUGUAUUACUGCUCCUUGCAUCAAAACCUCUAGAAAGAGUGCCCACGAACCUGUUCAGAUAUGAAGGUAGACCUAUCACAUACAAUGUUAAUACUGUAUUGUCUUGUGUAAGAAAAUGUUGUAUCACCUCCGCAUGUAAUGACCUUUUUUCUUGCCAUUUCGUUUUGCCCCAGCUUGUAUCUUGUACUGAUUUUGAUCCGAUUGAUCCUCAUACUUUGUACGGCACAAGUGACAAUUUUUCCUUCUUGCAUUAGGCAGUUAGGCUUGAGUCGUUACGUUAAA